rnacentral:lncRNA from 1 species
ACUCUGUGCCUUGCCGGUUGCUUUUCAACUACAAACACAGAUGAAUCAGUUGAUACUAAAGUUGUAACUCGUAAUCGUGUUUGUAAUCUUGGAUGUUCCAUCGGCCAUUGCUCCAAGUUUCUCGUUCAAUAUGGUAACUAACACUCCUUAUCUUGUCUCUUUACUUGUGUUCUUGUGAUAGUCAGAUUCAACUCAAUAAAAUUGGUGGUUUGAAGACAAACGUUAAUAUAAGACACCUUAAACAUGCAUAGGCAUAUUUCAUGAGUUGGUUUUCGUAACAAAGUUUGGUUUUUGACAUUAAGUAAAACAAUCCUGCUUCACAUGCACAUAUGCUUGAGGUGCAAUAUUGUAUUGCUAUAACGUGCAAUCUUUAAUUUUGCAGAUAAUGAGAAGUUUGGAAGUUGCAUGACAAACUGCAGUGAGAACUAUUGCAUUGGCAAUGCUCUAGAGAAAGUUGCAGCUUAAGAACAACUAAUAAUAUUAAAAAGUAGAAUUAUGGCCACUAAGUAUGUGUCUAUGACACUAUGUUAUGUACUAAAUUAAAGCUACUAAAUGCUUUUGUGGUUGUAAUUUUCUAUGUUGUGUGUAAUUGUGUUGUAUUAAAUAAAACU